UGUGGAUGGAUGGUGCUGGUGUGUUUUUAUGUCAUAGGAAAACAUUUUUGAUAGGAGCUCAGUCAUUAAAUUUAAGACUUUCCGAUUUAGGGUUCCAUGGAUUCCACCAUUCAGUCGUGCUUAAUUGAUAGUCGAUUACAAAAGUGAAGAGCAAGUAACAAGCCUAAACGUAAAAGAGCUAGCUUGAGACCUCUAGCUUAAUCUUCAUUUUCCUAUUUUAUAGUAGUUGAUUUGCAACCUAGGGUUUAGGGUUAUAUGCCAUUUUUAGAUUUGGGCAUUUCAUUAUGCAAAUAUCUUUGACUGUUUCAAUUUGUUUUUUUUUUUGAUAAGGUAACACUUGUAUAUUUAUCCAAAAAUCAGACCUGCCACAAACAGUUACAGGUCUCAUAGUUACAAAGGAGUAUUCAGAAGAUCUUCAAUCCUAUAACAAGAACUUAUAUAGAACCUAAGACAUCCAUAAAUGAUUCUAGAUCUUCCAUAUACUCCUAUUUACACCAAAAGUAGAAUAAAGCAAGACAGUUCAUUUUCAUCUUCUGUAAUGAAUUACACUUAUUUUCAAAACAUUUAAGGUUCCUUUCACUCCACACAGGCCACCAGAUGCAGGCUGGUAUAAUUCUCCAUCUCUCUUUGUGGCCAGAAAGGUUGGCAUAACUAUUCCACACUUCCAGGACUUGAACAAUUUUUUCAGGCAUUAUCCAUGUUAACCCUUUUAAAUUGAUGAAUAAACUCCAUAUCUGAAAGGUAGUCUUGCAGUGAAUAAAGAGGUGACUAACAGUCUUUGCUUCUUCACCACAAAAGAAACACCUUGGACUAAAAUUAAAACCCCUUUUCAUGAGAUUUUCCUGAGUUAGUACUGCCUGCUUAGCUAGUAGCCAGGCAAAACAAGAAACUUUGUAAGGGAUCUUAACUUUCCAUUUCAAUUUCCAUGGCCAGUGGUCAAUCUAGCUUCUGUAAAUGUUAAAAGUCUUGUAUGCCUCCUUGACAAAAAACUUGCCUAGUUUGUGUCUCUGAAUCUCCCAGUCAUUUAGUAGUCUUCUAAAACUCAAAUUCCACCCCUGGUUAGACCAUACCUUUGCCACAGAGGCAUUUUGUUGCUGAUUGAGGAUAUACAUAUAUAUAUAUAUAUGCUCCCUGUCAGCAUCACAAAAGAUCAGAGAAUCAUCAGCAUAUUGGAGAUGAGUAAUCUCCAUAGCUUCCCCCACUCUGUUUGUCUAUUUUGACUUAGCAUGGAGUUUAAGAGUGUCUUUUGAAUCUUGUGGCCUUAAAGUAAUGUACCAAAAUGUUGUUUAAUCUUGUGGUUUAAGCAUGUCAUUUGGAAAUUUGGAAUUAAGGAGUUGUCAAAAAAGGAAAGAGACAUUCUUUUGAAACGAAUUAAAAAGGAAAGUAAGUAAGACAAACAAAUUAAAACGGAGGGAGCACAUAGAAAGUGUCGUCCAUAGGAAAUAUUUUAGCUUGUGAAAUCAUUUACUGAUACUCGUUUUCCAAAGUGAAGACCCAGUAGCAAACCUAAAUGUAAAAGAGCUAGCUUGAGACCUCCAGGUUAAUCUUCAUUUUCCUAUUUUAUAGUAGAUGCCUGCGGUUUUGGACUAGGGUUUAAGGUUUUAUGCUUAUUUUCAGAUUUGGGCAUUUCGUUCUGCAAAUUACUAUGAUGUUUUUGGUUGCUUUUGUUAUUGGGUGUGUUUGGUAUGAGGGAAAAAAAUUUCCAUAGAAAUCAUCUCUCCCACGCGAAAUCACAGCUACAAAAAUGGGUUUCGGAGCCCUAAGAUCAAUAAUCCGACCAGUUUUUUCAAGAGCACUCUUAUCGACCCGACCCGUAUCCGCAUUCAACUCUCCGGCGACAACAAUAUCUCCGAGUCAAAGUUUGCAUAGUUUGACUUUCGAGAAGCGAAAUAUGACAACUAAUUUGGGACAAGAGCAUUUGAUCAUUUUCUCGAGUUUAGUUGGGAUUGUAAUGGUACGAGGUGGGGGAUCGGAACAUGAGGAUGUCGUUUUGAUGAUUUUCUUGAGUGUUCACAUUCACAAGUCACAAAAAUGUCAAAGUGUUGGGAUUGUAAAGAAGCUGGCUUUGUCAUGAAGUGAUGUCCGUAUGCAUGGAUAAAAUAUACCACCCGGUGAACCUAUAAGUCCAAACAAUCCCAAUUAAGGAAGUGUCAAGCGGAGGAAUGAGAAGAAGAGAAUCAGGCAGAGAAAGGCAUUUAUAUUGGUAUGAGCGUAGAAUUGUGACCUUGUGGGGUGAGCUAGCUGAAAAAGAUGGGGAAAUACUACAAAAACUGAUAGAUACAAAACCUGUCGUAGCAUUUUGUGACGUGAAAGGGUUGACGUAUCAAGGUAAUAUAUCGAAAACUUUUUUUUACCUUCACAAUUAGUUCUUUAUGAAUUACAUCUAUGCUAAACUUUAUUUGUUUGUUGUGAGGAUAUCUACCACUCGUAUUAGUGGUGUAUUGAUCAACCCGACAUUUCAAAAAGCAAACGAGCUGCAAAAUUGGCAUGAUUAUUUGAAAGCGCAAUUGCUGAAGAGAUGCAUGAAGUUGGAACUAUUGCUGCAAUUGAAAUUGAGGAAGACGCAAUAGAGGUGCAGAAAAAACACAUGAAGAAAACAAGGGAUUGCGGAGACAAAAAAGACCCUCAUUCAAUAAUUUAUAAGAAAAUCAAAAUAGAAAAGGAUUAGGGAUUUGUUGUUGUUUUGUCAUUCCAGUAGACAUUCAUUAUCUUUUUUUGAGUAGAUUUCCCAUAGUCUUUAUUUAAUUCUCUUAUGAUAUUGUAGUACUAUACUUUCGUUAGUCUAUAAUAUGUUACUCCUUCUGUCCCAUAAUAA